UGCCUGCUCUAAGUGGUUACCCAGGA
rnacentral:piRNA from 1 species